GGGGGUAUAGCUCAGCGGGAGAGCGCAUGCUAAGCACGCAUGAAGUCCUGGGUUCAACUCUCAGUACCUCCA
rnacentral:tRNA from 1 species